GAGACCAGUCAUAAUAAUGCAUUCUGAAACAAAGAUUAUGAUAAUUUCAAUUCUGUGUAACUGAGCUUCAAA
rnacentral:snoRNA from 1 species